CCCCAAAAAAAAUGAAAUGAAUUCUCAAAUAAUUCGUUUAUAUGGAUCAUUCGGGGUUGAGACCAAAUAUCAAAAUAACAUUGCCAGAAAUAAAUGAGAUAGUAUCUCCAUUUAUUCAUCAAAAAAGGCGAAUUCUUUGAAGCCAGAAUGGAUUUUCCUUGAAAUCUAACAUAAUGAAUCAAAGGAUCCUUGAAGAAUAAUAAGGUAGACGAAAAAUUAUUCGAAAAGACUUCUACAAGAUGCUCUAUUUUUGUAUAGAAAUAGAUUCGCUCAAAAAGAACGCUAAAAGAGUGAA